CUCAAACUUUAUUUCUUUAUAUUUUAUAAAUCCUAGAAGAGUUUGAAUAUCCUAGAUAUUCAUCCAUAGUGAAGUAAGUUCUGGAAUUGCAUGACUGCGGUCGGAUGGGUGGUAAUAUUUGUACUGUUAAUUAUAGUUUUGUUUGUUUGUAUUAUUGUGGAUGUUUUAAUAGAUUAGUUGCAUGUUUAAAAUUUUCGGGAACGUCCGAAUUAUAGAUGUUAUGCUGUCGAAAUUUCUAGGAUUAGUAUUUUAUUAAAUUAAUUAGGUUAAGUUGAUAUAGAAUUAUUUUAUUGUAUUAACUAGAGAACUAAGCCGCGCUUCGCGCGGUCUUGUAAUUUGUUUUAUGGAGUACAAUGUGGUUAUUAUGUUAUGAAGAUUAUUCAGAGUUUCAUGACGGUUGUUAAUCCUGCAAGUUUUUUGAAAAAUCAUUUCAAGUUAGACGCUCCCUAUAGUAACGAGGAGAUCAAUGCCGUACGGGAUGAGUUUGCCGAAUUUGUGAAGCCAUUGAUUAUAGAUUAAGUACUUAAGGUUACUACACUUUUGAUAUAAUACAUGAGUAACAAGUUUUAUGAUUAUUGUUAUCUUUCGCAUAUAUUAUUAGUUUAUAUUUAGUUUACGAUAUACAUGGAAUUUAAGUUUUAGAAUCGAUUUUAUUAACAAUUUUGGUAUUGUGUGAUUAGUUAAUAGAAUCGAUUACUAAUUUAAUAUAAGUUUUAAAAAUGUUAUUUUAAUUUUUUUUGUA